AUUGAACGCUGGCGGCAUGCCUUACACAUGCAAGUCGAACGGUAACGCGGGGCAACCUGGCGACGAGCGGCGAACGGGUGAGUAAUGCAUCGGAACGUGCCCAGUAGUGGGGGAUAGCCCGGCGAAAGCCGGAUUAAUACCGCAUACGACCUGAGGGUGAAAGCGGGGGAUCGCAAGACCUCGCGCUAUUGGAGCGGCCGAUGUCAGAUUAGGUAGUUGGUGGGGUAAAGGCCUACCAAGCCGACGAUCUGUAGCUGGUCUGAGAGGACGAUCAGCCACACUGGGACUGAGACACGGCCCAGACUCCUACGGGAGGCAGCAGUGGGGAAUUUUGGACAAUGGGCGCAAGCCUGAUCCAGCCAUGCCGCGUGCGUAGGAAGACGUCCG
rnacentral:rRNA from 1 species